AUUUUUGGCUGUAUCACCUGGAACACACCUGAUCUCUUCUGAUCCCGGAAACUAAGUAGGGUCAGGCCUGGUUAAUUCUUGGAUGAGAGAAGUU
rnacentral:rRNA from 1 species